AGUCGAGCGAACACUUCGGUGGGAAGCGGCGAACGGGUGAGUAACACGUAGGUGAUCUGCCCAUCAGACGGGGACAACGAUUGGAAACGAUCGCUAAUACCGGAUAGGACGAAAGUUUAAAGAUGCUCCUGGCAUCACUGAUGGAUGAGCCUGCGGCGCAUUAGCUAGUUGGUGGGGUAAAGGCCUACCAAGGCGACGAUGCGUAGCCGACCUGAGAGGGUGAACGGCCACACUGGGACUGAGACACGGCCCAGACUCCUACGGGAGGCAGCAGUAGGGAAUCUUCGGCAAUGGGCGAAAGCCUGACCGAGCAACGCCGCGUGAAUGAAGAAGGCCUUCGGGUUGUAAAAUUCUGUUAUAAGGGAAGAAAGGUGAUAGGAGGAAAUGACUAUCAAUUGACGGUACCUUAUGAGAAAGCCACGGCUAACUACGUGCCAGCAGCCGCGGUAAUACGUAGGUGGCAAGCGUUAUCCGGAAUUAUUGGGCGUAAAGAGCGCGCAGGUGGUUAAUUAAGUCUGAUGUGAAAGCCCACGGCUUAACCGUGGAGGGUCAUUGGAAACUGGUUGACUUGAGUGCAGAAGAGGGAAGUGGAAUUCCAUGUGUAGCGGUGAAAUGCGUAGAGAUAUGGAGGAACACCAGUGGCGAAGGCGGCUUCCUGGUCUGCAACUGACACUGAGGCGCGAAAGCGUGNGGAGCAAACAGGAUUAGNUACCCUGGUAGUCCACGCCGUAAACGAUGAGUGCUAAGUGUUGGGGGUCGAACCUCAGUGCUGA
rnacentral:rRNA from 1 species